rnacentral:rRNA from 1 species
ACGAACGCUGGCGGCGUGCCUAAUACAUGCAAGUUGAGCGCUGAAGGUUGGUACUUGUACCAACUGGAUGAGCAGCGAACGGGUGAGUAACGCGUGGGGAAUCUGCCUUUGAGCGGGGGACAACAUUUGGAAACGAAUGCUAAUACCGCAUAAAAACUUUAAACACAAGUUUUAAGUUUGAAAUAUGCAAUUGCAUCACUCAAAGAUGAUCCCGCGUUGUAUUAGCUAGUUGGUGAGGUAAAGGCUCACCAAGGCGAUGAUACAUAGCCGACCUGAGAGGGUGAUCGGCCAAAUUGGGACUGAGACACGGCCCAAACUCCUACGGGAGGCAGCAGUAGGGAAUCUUCGGCAAUGGACGAAAGUCUGACCGAGCAACGCCGCGUGAGUGAAGAAGGUUUUCGGAUCGUAAAACUCUGUUGGUAGAGAAGAACGUUGGUGAGAGUGGAAAGCUCAUCAAGUGACGGUAACUACCCAGAAAGGGACGGCUAACUACGUG